ACAGUCCUGGAAGUACAAGUGAAAAAAGAAAUCCUAUUUUAGCAUGAACAUGCACCUCCAAUUUUUUAGCUCUUACUAGCAGUUCCUGUAUACACAAACAUGUGAGAAGUCUCCAAAGAGAAGUUUCAGUUUUGCAAGCAAAAAAACAAAAACAAAAAAAACUAAUCACAUCGAAGAAAAGUAGGCACUACACUUUCUAGAUGACAGUAUUAAUAUAUAAUUAUUUUAGAAGAAACUAUGAAUCUGUUUAAAUCCCCAAAGUUAAAUAACCUAAUCAGAUCACUUAGAGAAAUAAGUGCUUUUCGCUGCCCUGCCCUAAGAUCAUAUUGCUAUUUAACCUGCUUUUAAACAAACAAGAAUUUUUAAACAUUUUCUAUCCUUUAAGCAAAUGUUCUUUGCUUGGCUAAAUGACAAUGUUCAAGAAAUGCCUACCACAGAAGCAUAAAAAACCCCUGGCAACAUUCCAGAAGAAAUUCACCCCGCAUAAUGUGUUCCAGCUAAUGCUCAAUAGCUUUCGGGUGAACCUGCUGGCUCUGUGUGCCCUUGAACAGAAUCUGAAAAGAACAAAAGAAAAACUGAUAGACAUUUUCCCUUUUGUGAGUCUGGUGGAACUUUCCAAACUUCGAAAAAUGUACGGCUACCAUGAACCCGGCCCUGGGCUCUGAUGUAAACUUUGUUUUACUACCUUUGCUUCCCUGAAAUUCAACUAUAAUUAUAUUGUUUGUCUUUUCAUCCAAUAAAAUGUGCAUUAGCAUUUGGUCCUCUUUAGAGUGUAGUAUUUGUUUAGAUGAAUGUAUUCUUUCAAAUGAUUAGCAGUGCUGCCACAAUGAGAACGCUUUAGAUUAAACUCUUGAUAUCGUAUUAAAAGGAGGGAGAUCAGCUCAAAAUGCUUCCAAAGUGUGCUCAUAACUGGCUGAGGCUAUCAACUUUUCUAGAUAUGUAUGAGAAUUUCACCAAGCGCAAAAGACUUUAAGAUGAAAUCCCUGGCCCUUUUAUAAAUGAAAAAAAUAACACGAGAGUUCCUAUUGUGGCUCAGCAGGUUAAGAACCCGACUAGAGUCCAUGAGGAUGCAGGUUCCAUCUCUGGCCUCGUUCAGUGAGUUAAGGAUCCCGUGUCGCCUUGAGCUGUGGUGUAGGUUGCAGAUGCAGCUCAUAUCUGGCGUUGCUGUGGUUGUGCUGUAGGCUGGCAGAUGCAGGUCUGAUUCGACUCCUAGCCUGGGAACUUCCAUAUGCCAUGGGUACAGCCCUAAAAAGUCCAAAAAACUAAAAAUAAAAAAUUAAAUCAUUGGCCAUGUUACAUCUCUGAAGCUGUAGUGAUACAGUUGGAGCCAAUUCUCUCUGGACAUGGGAGGCUGCAGCAUUGGGUGGGAGGGCUGGUACAGAGUGCAUUUGACCUUAAAUGCCCUGGAUGGAGGAAGAGGAGGAUGCUUGGAAAGAUAACAUUUUCUCCAUUUGAUGUUCUAGGACAUGUGCAUGGAAUUGAAACAACCCAUUUUGCAGGCAAGAAGCUAUAGAUGCAAAUGCCAGGCCUGGGGAAAACUGGACCCUGGGGAAGGAUGGAAGGCACUGGGGCUUGCCCUCACAGGCCCUCCCACUAUGGGGCCACCAGCCUGCUCCACGCAGAGCCUUCUCCGGGUUCCCUGGGGGACCUCUUGGAGGAGUGCAGCAGGAAGACUAUCGAUUGGCUCGGGACAUAAAAUAGACUAUUGACGGUAUCUCAGAGAUACCCCCAACAGGAUGGAAAAGAAAGGACUCACCCACAACUUUAAUGGCCAAAUAUAAAACACUGAAAUGUGCUCUGCUGGUUGUAACAUUCUCUUGGCAUUUCUUCAUUUAUUACUACGCUGGAAGCCUCAAAAAAAUGGAAGAGACCCAGCUCUGGGACCUCUGAGAGGCCCUGGCUACCAGGAAGUCACGUGGUGUAUUAGGAGAAGGCAAGGCAUUUACAAAACCCUCAGCUGCUUUCUGCAGGAGAAAGCUGGGCCUCUAGACUCCCAGUCACCAGAGUGCAUUGCCAAACGCAAAGCCAGCACAAAACAGAUGAAACUACAGAGACCUUUGACUGGCAUCUUUAUCCUGAUGCCUCAAAAAGGAGCCAUGAUGAUGAUGAUUCAAGGUGCUUCCUUCCAGAUCCUUAAAGAGACACACACACUCAGAAUAAAUGAUGUUAUUUUCCGUGUUUUUCUUACUUAUGUGGUAUAAGAUUAUACACAUCCUAAAAAUUGCUUUAUUCAUUCCACAGUAUUUUGAGACUUAUCCAUGUGGCUUCAUAUAGAUUUAUUUCAAUACUCCUGGCUGCUGAUGGUACUCCAUCAUUUGAAACCACUACUUUUAUUUACCCAUAUCCCUCCUGACGUUCAGUAUUUGUCUGUGGCUGAUCCGAUGCAUUCUUCCAGCCCACUUAAGCAUUCCCUUCUUAGAAGUCUGACUGCACUUUAUUCUCCUUAGUUGUUCCACAUAUGUGUGGUCUGUUUCCCGGACGAGAAAGUUAAACUUCUAAGAGCAACUUCUAUGUCCGGCAUCUAAUCGAAUCAUUGCAUCUAUGUAAUACUCUGGUGAAUGACGAACUUUGGACUGUUGGCUCUCUCGGAGAGCUGAAGAGCAGCUCUGGACUCCCAGAGGUUCAACAAAUUCUAUCUAGUUAUUUAUUUCCUCUUGGUUUCUUAAAAGAGAAGUGCUGUAUUUUCAAAACAGGUUCAACUAAAAUUCACUUCCUUUCUUCAUCUAGAUUCGUGGCGGUGAGCAUCUCCUUAAAAUGUUCCAAAUCCGAACACCGGUGAUACCAUAAACGUUUCACCUUUAAAAGAUGAGACAGAGACAGACAGACAGACAGACAGACAGCAAUACAGAAAGAGAGAGUGAAAGAAAGAGAAGGAGGAGGGGGAAGAGAAAAAGGAGGAAGACUGAAAGGAUCCCCACCCCUCCGAAGGGCGGGGCCUGUGGCCCCUGCUGGCCUGGAGGCAAAGUUGGGCACAAAGGGCUGAUUCUCUUUGCAAAUGAAAUCUGGAUAACACACCCUCUCCCUUCUUUUCCUUGAAAAGUCUUCCCCUGCCACUUUUACUGUCAACUUUUAGGUUGCUCUUGUCAGAAUCAGUUUUCAUUUCUUUCCCUGGAAACUUUAUUCUCUGCCUCUUUCGGCUUCCUAAAGAAUUGGUUUGUUAAAGUUUUUAAUUGUUCGCGCUUUUUCUAGGGACAAUGAAGAAAGCGCAGAGUCUCCACAUCCACUCACCAGAAAUCCUCCAGAUCAUUCAACCUGACUCACAAUCAUGGCCGAAAGAGCUGCUUGGAAACUGUGAAAACCUUGCCAAAGGGACUCGCCCACUGCAUUGUUUGUUGGAGGAAAGGAGAAGGUGGGGACAUAGAAAAGCUGUGGAGGCACCCAGGUAUUCGGGGACCUCUCUGUAUUUGCGUUAGACCAUUUUUUCAUCUUGUGAAGUCAUUUUAACUCUUUCCUAGUCCAAGACACCAGCUUUUGGCUUUUUCGAGUCUGAUCCCUUUGCUCUGGCCAGGGUCCCCUUCCCCCGUGCCCCCCAAAUGCACCUACGCUUAUAUACAUGCCAUUCUGCAAAGAAUUUCCAGGAAGCCACAAAUCUCCUGACACUAGAGAAGCCCAGGUGGAGAAGAUCUAAAAUAAGGUGAAAUUGCCAAGAAUCCAGAUGUUGGCAGAAACAGUAACAGUGACAGGCACUACAUGCACUGAUAGGAGCUACAAAAUAAAACCAAUCUCUGUAUGUGGGUUUUGGAGCCUAUUUGGGUUUGAUCCUGAGUUGGUCUUUUCAGACACACCUAUAUUUCCAUCACAGUUAGCAGGAUGAUCCAUACAUGCUCAGUGUGCCACCAUCUUUGAAUGCAAAGAAUGACUCUGCGUCGGGAAGAUGACAUGCUGGACAGGCAAAAGGCCGCACUGAUCAUGAGGAGAUGUGAUCAAAAUAUCAUCAAAAAUAUCUACAUCUGCAGCAAGUGCUAGAAAUAAGUGAAUAAACGAUCUUGCCUUUCAGCACCCCUCAUCUCAACUUCUCACCACAUCCUUGGCAUCAUUUCUUUCGGUAGCUUCUCUAUCCUACUUCAACGUCAAAGACUUCUUCAUGUGUCAUUGUCCUUAGAUCUAAUCUCUUCCAAACUCUUAGCUAUUCCCCAAACCAUACAGAUUAUUGUCAUCAGAGUAACAUUUCCCAUUUAUAGAGUGACUCCUAUGUGUCAACUAUGCAUGUAGCACCAAAAAUAUACUAUGCAUAUGUAUGAAAUCCAUGCAAUAAUUCUGCUAGGUAGAUAGCAGUAUUUCCAUUUAAAGAGGAAAAACUUGAGGUUCAAAGAGCAGUGACUUACUAAUGUUUCCGGAGCAAGGACCUGGCAGAACUGGGUUUAUCCUUAAUUCCAUGUGACUGCAAAUUCUCUCAGUCUUGUUGGCUCAUGCCACCAUCAUGUUUUUUCCAGAAAAUUCUUAAGAUUACGGAAUUCUCAGUUUAGAUGUUCUCAGCCUUCUUUGGCUCAUAGAAUAUUUGAGGAGAAAGGGAUCAGAGGCAAUCUUGUCUGACACACACACUUAACAAGUAAGGAAACUGACACUCACCUAGGAUGGGUUACUGGUCCAACCACGACCUUCCCUUUUCUAGUUCUCGAGGAGGCAGGAACCACAUCCUUUGGGAAGUUAUUUCCUGCUUCUCCUAGCAUAGCUCUAAGUGCACCAAAAGUCUGUAGGUGGACAUUUGAUGACCAUUCCAAAAGGAGCAGAAACUCAAGUCCAGAACACCCGAACGACCGACGCAAAGGAGGGCCAGACUCAGGUGGCAUCUACCUCAAAGGGACUUAACAAUCCAAGGUGUGCCCCUUCCUACCUCACCACCCCCCAGAAGAAGCCAAGAUAUUCCCUGGUCUUUGAAGCUAGUGUAGCAGUGAAAACAAGACAUGUAAAAUCACAGCGAAGGCAGCCCCCAAACCAGCACCUGCAUCCUAAAACCACUUCUACAGACAGCAGUGACAUGCAGCCCAAUUCAGCAGAUAAUGGCAAAGCCCUUCUCUUUCAGUCUGUGGUAGCUGGAAUGAGGAGGGAGAGGACAAGUCAGAGCUUGAAAGCUUGCUUUUAGGUUUGUUAUCAAGAACAACAAGUGACUGCCAUAUUUCGAAUGUAUUUAAAAGUCCUGAAUCACAUAACUAGUCUGCCUUGCAUGGUCCUUGAAAAUGCAAAAAUAGAAAUGAAAGAAAUUAUCUAAGAGCAGCAAAGCAGGGAAACAGAGAUUAGCAUGAGAUUAGGAGUUCGGGCUGCGUUUCAUUAUUACCGAUGCUUAUAAACACUUGCUGUCUGACAGUAGUUGACAAGCCCUGCUAAGGACAGAGUAAUAAACAUGGU
rnacentral:lncRNA from 1 species